rnacentral:rRNA from 1 species
GACGAACGCUGGCGGCGUGCUUAACACAUGCAAGUCGAACGGAAAGGCCUGCUUUCCCUUGUGGAUUGCGGGUACUCGAGUGGCGAACGGGUGAGUAACACGUGAGUGAUCUGCCCCCAACUUGGGUAUAAGCCUGGGAAACUGGGUCUAAUUCCCGAUAGGACUGCAGGGUGGUGCCUGUGGUGGAAAACGAUUUUCUAGUGGUUGGGGAUGAGCUCGCGGCCUAUCAGCUUGUUGGUGGGGUAAUGGCCUACCAAGGCGGCGACGGGUAGCCGGCCUGAGAGGGUGGACGGCCACAUUGGGACUGAGAUACGGCCCAGACUCCGACGGGAGGCAGCAGUGGGGAAUAUUGCACAAUGUGCGGAAGCCUGAUGCAGCGACGCCGCGUGGGGGAUGACGGCCUUCGGGUUGUAAGCUCCUUUCGACCGCGAGGAAGCCACCUGGUUGGAAGGGUGGUGACGGUAGUGGUAGAAGAAGCACCGGCUAACUACGUG